AGUGAACGCUGGCGGUAGGCCUAACACAUGCAAGUCGAACGGCAGCACAGUAAGAGCUUGCUCUUACGGGUGGCGAGUGGCGGACGGGUGAGGAAUACAUCGGAAUCUACUUUUUCGUGGGGGAUAACGUAGGGAAACUUACGCUAAUACCGCAUACGACCUACGGGUGAAAGCAGGAGAUCUUCGGACCUUGCGCGAUUGAAUGAGACGAUGUCGGAUUAGCUAGUUGGCGGGGUAAAGGCCCACCAAGGCGACGAUGCGUAGCUGGUCUGAGAGGAUGAUCAGCCACACUGGAACUGAGACACGGUCCAGACUCCUACGGGAGGCAGCAGUGGGGAAUAUUCGACAAUGGGCGCAAGCCUGAUCCAGCCAUACCGCGUGAGUGAAGAAGGCCUUCGGGUUGUAAAGCCCUUUUGUUGGGAAAGAAAAGCAGCAGGUUAAUACCCCGCUGUUCUGACGGUACCCAAAGAAUAAGCACCGGCUAACUUCGUG
rnacentral:rRNA from 1 species